UACGUAGGGGCCUAGCGUUGUCCGGAAUUAUUGGGCGUAAAGGAGCUCGUGAGCGGGUUCGGCAAGUCGGAUGUGAAAUCUCACGCUCAACGUGGAGGGCCAUUCGAAACUGUCCGUGACUCGAGUCCGGUGAGGGAGUAGUGGAAUUCCCGGUGGUAGUGGUGAAAUGCGUAGAUAUCGGGAGGAACACCAGUGGCGAAGGCG
rnacentral:rRNA from 1 species